CUGAGACACGAAUCCAGGCCCUACGGGGCGCAGCAGGCGCGAAAACUUUACACUGCGCGAAAGCGCGAUAAGGGGACCCUGAGUGCGUGCGCAAUGCGUACGCUUUUCAGAUGCCUAAAAAGCAUUUGGAAUAAGGGCCGGGCAAGACCGGUGCCAGCCGCCGCGGUAACACCGGCGGCUCGAGUGGUGGCCGCUAUUAUUGGGCUUAAAGGGUCCGUAGCCGGACCGGUUAGUCCAUUGGGAAAUCUUAUAGCUCAACUAUAAGGCUGCCAAUGGAUACUGCUGGUCUUGGGACCGGGAGAGGCAAGAGGUACCUCAGGGGUAGGGGUGAAAUCCUGUAAUCCUUUGGGGACCACCGGUGGCGAAGGCGUCCUACCAGAACAGGUCCGACGGUGAGGGACGAAAGCUAGGGGCACGAACCGGAUUAGAUACCCGGGUAGUCCUAGCCGUAAACGAUGCUCGCUAGGUGUCACGUGGAUUGCGAAUCCGCGUGGUGCCGUAGGGAAACCGUGAAGCUCGCCGCCUGGGAAGUACGGCCGCAAGGCUGAAACUUAA
rnacentral:rRNA from 1 species